rnacentral:rRNA from 1 species
UAAGCAUAUCAAUAAGCGGAGGAAAAGAAACCAACAGGGAUUGCCCUAGUAACGGCGAGUGAAGCGGCAACAGCUCAAAUUUGAAAUCUGGCCCUCGGGUCCGAGUUGUAAUUUGUAGAGGAUGCUUUUGGCAAGGUGCCUUCCGAGUUCCCUGGAACGGGACGCCAUAGAGGGUGAGAGCCCCGUCUGGUCGGACACCGCGCCUCUGUAAAGCUCCUUCGACGAGUCGAGUAGUUUGGGAAUGCUGCUCUAAAUGGGAGGUAUAUGUCUUCUAAAGCUAAAUAUUGGCCAGAGACCGAUAGCGCACAAGUAGAGUGAUCGAAAGAUGAAAAGCACUUUGAAAAGAGAGUUAAAAAGUACGUGAAAUUGUUGAAAGGGAAGCGAUUAUGACCAGACUUGGGCCUGUUUGAUCAACUUGGGUUCUCCCGGGUGCACUCUCUCAGGCCUAGGCCAGCAUCAGUUCGUCGCGGGGGACAAAGGUCGCGGGAAUGUGGCUCCCCUCGGGGAGUGUUAUAGCCCGUUUCGUAAUACCCUGCGUCGGACUGAGGUUCGCGCAUUUUGCAAGGAUGCUGGCGUAAUGGUCAUCAUCGACCCGUCUUGAAACACGGACCAAGGAGUCGUCUUCGUAUGCGAGUGUUCGGGUGUUAAACCCCUACGCGGAAUGAAAGUGAACGCAGGUGAGAGCUUCGGCGCAUCAUCGACCGAUCCUGAUGUUCUCGGAUGGAUUUGAGUAAGAGCAUACGGAGCCGGACCCGAAAGAAGGUGAACUAUGCCUGUAUAGGGUGAAGUCAGAGGAAACUCUGAUGGAGGCUCGCAGCGGUUCUGACGUGCAAAUCGAUCGUCAAAUAUGGGCAUGGGGGCGAAAGACUAAUCGAACCUUCUAGUAGCUGGUUUCCGCCGAAGU